GAGGAGGCACGUUCCUGGAGGGGAUCCUGGUCCAGGACCCAGCCCCCCACAGGAGGCAGAUGCCUGCUCAGUGGGCAGACUGGGCUGGAAUGAUGCACGUGCAGCGAUAAUUCAGAUCUGGCUGCAAGUCUGGAGUGUGGGAAUCCAGACGUCUUCUGUGCAGUGUGGGAGCCCCAGGGAUUGGGGCAAGAAGCAAGAAGGCCUGAAACCCUCCCCAGCCUUGGCGGUUCAUGAGCUAAAUUAUCCUGGAGCUUUAAACACUUUAUAAAAUACCAGGUAUGA